CCCUUAGAUGUUCUGGGCUGCACGCGCGCUACACUGACAUACGCAACAAGUCUCUUUGGUUGAAAAUCCUGAGAAAUCUUUAAAAGUAUGUCGUGAUGGGGAUAGACUAUUGUAAUUAUUAGUCUUCAACGAGGAAUUCCUAGUAAGUGCAAGUCAUCAGCUUGCGCUGAUUACGUCCCUGCCCUUUGUACACACCGCCCGUCGCUCCUACCGAUUGGGUGAUCCGGUGAAUAAUUCGGAUGCGAUCCGCAGAAGUUUUGUGAGCCUUAUCACUUAGAGGAAGGAGAANUCGUANCA
rnacentral:rRNA from 1 species